CUUACCGGGUCCGGACACACUGAGGAUUGACAGGCAAUAUAUGGUUACUUCGGUAGUCAUUGUUAAAUAUGCUAGUCCUUUCAUGAUUAUGUGAUAGGUGGUGCAUGGCCGUUCUUAGUUCGUGGAGUGAUCUGUCUGCUUAAUUGCGUUUCACUUAUUUUAUAGGAUCUAAUAUUAAUGAUGUGUGAGCGACUCGCAUGCUCUUGACCCACACUUG
rnacentral:rRNA from 1 species